UCAUCUUCACAAUAAAAAAGUCUCACAUUUGGAAAACAGAGUUCAUCUUGACUGUGUUUGACUGGGACUAACAGUCUCCAAGACCAACGGAGGCCAAUUGGACGACAGGGAAUGCAGUACCAAGGACUGUAGAGAGAGACAUGAAAGGCAAAGGAGAGGGGAUAAUGUUCUUACCCAGGAGUGCUACAGCUGAUUGCUGAAUUAGGUCCACCUUGGAAGGCAGCGCACAACUGU